rnacentral:rRNA from 1 species
UUGGAGGGCAAGUCUGGUGCCAGCAGCCGCGGUAAUUCCAGCUCCAAUAGCGUAUAUUAAAGUUGUUGCAGUUAAAAAGCUCGUAGUUGAAUUUCGGGAUUAGUACGUCGGUCGUGUCUUAGGUACGUACUGGUGUUACUGGUUCCUACCUUCUGACGAACCAUCAUGUCAUUAAUUUGGUGUGGUGGGGAAUCAGGACUGUUACUUUGAAAAAAUUAGAGUGUUUAAAGCAGGCUCGCGCUUGAAUACAUUAGCAUGGAAUAAUGAAAUAGGACGUUGAUCCUAUUUUGUUGGUUUCUAGGAUUGACGUAAUGAUUAAUAGGGAUAGUUGGGGGCAUUAGUAUUCAAUUGUCAGAGGUGAAAUUCUUGGAUUUAUUGAAGACUAACUACUGCGAAAGCAUUUGCCAAGGAUGUUUUCAUUAAUCAAGAACGAAAGUUAGGGGAUCGAAGACGAUCAGAUACCGUCGUAGUCUUAACCAUAAACUAUGCCGACUAGGGAUCGGAUGAUGUUAUUUUUAAUGACUCAUUCGGCGCCUUACGGGAAAC